GGAUGGUUGGCAGAGCGGACGAUUGCACUCGCCUUGAAAGCGAGCGUGCCGAGAGGCACCGGGGGUUCGAAUCCCUCACCAUCCG
rnacentral:tRNA from 1 species